rnacentral:rRNA from 1 species
GAUGAUACUGCGGUUCUAACCGUGGGAAAGUAGGACGUCGCCAGAA